CAGCAGCGCGGGAAUACGUAGGUGGCAAGCGUUGUCCGGAAUUAUUGGGCGUAAAGGGCUCGCAGGCGGUUUCUUAAGUCUGAUGUGAAAGCCCCCGGCUCAACCGGGGAGGGUCAUUGGAAACUGGGAAACUUGAGUGCAGAAGAGGAGAGUGGAAUUCCACGUGUAGCGGUGAAAUGCGUAGAGAUGUGGAGGAACACCAGUGGCGAAGGCGACUCUCUGGUCUGUAACUGACGCUGAGGAGCGAAAGCGUGGGGAGCGAACAGGAUUAGAUACCCGUGUAGUCCCUGUCUCUUAUACA
rnacentral:rRNA from 1 species